GUUGUGGCUCAGAGGUAGAGCACUCACCUGCCAUGUGUGAGGUACUGGGUUCGAUCCUCAGUACCACA
rnacentral:tRNA from 1 species